rnacentral:rRNA from 1 species
CAGUAGCCGCGGGAAUACGAAGGGGGCUAGCGUUGCUCGGAAUGACUGGGCGUAAAGGGCGCGUAGGCGGUUCGUACAGUCAGAUGUGAAAUUCCUGGGCUCAACCUGGGGGCUGCAUUUGAUACGUGCGGACUAGAGUGGGGAAGAGGGUCGUGGAAUUCCCAGUGUAGAGGUGAAAUUCGUAGAUAUUGGGAAGAACACCGGUGGCGAAGGCGGCGACCUGGUCCUUGACUGACGCUGAGGCGCGAAAGCGUGGGGAGCAAACAGGAUUAGAUACCCCUGUAGUCCCUGUCUCUUAUAC